GACGAACGCUGGCGGUGUGCCUAAUACAUGCAAGUAAUACGCAGUUGCGUACGGGUGAGUAACACGUAGGUCACUCCCAAUUAGAGGGGGGUAACUAUUGGAAACGAUAGCUAAUACCGCAUACUAGUAGAUGGACCUGCGUUGUAUUAGCUAGUAGGUAGGGUAAAGGCCUACCUAGGCAACGAUACAUAGCCGACCUGAUAGGGUGAUCGGCCACACUGGGACUGAGACACGGCCCAGACUCCUACGGGAGGCAGCAGUAGGGAAUCUUCGGCAAUGGGGGGAACCCUGACCGAGCAACGCCGCGUGAGUGAAGAAGGUUUUCGGAUCGUAAAGCUCUGUUGUUAAGGAAGCGGUACCGGAAGAGAAAGCCACGGCUAACUACGUGCCAGCAGCCGCGGUAAUAC
rnacentral:rRNA from 1 species